rnacentral:lncRNA from 1 species
CAGAAGUGUAUAAUAAAUUAUGUUUUAAUAAUUGUGACAUGACAAACUGUGUAAACAUAAGAAAUUUAUCACCAAAAAAAAUAAAUGAUGUUAAUUUAGUUCUUAUUGAUACAAAUAGAGAUAUUACAAAUAUGAAAAAAAAAAGUACGACAUUUCCGUUAAACCGUGUAGACGCAUUUACAUUUUUGUAUAAUAACAACGGUAAUAAUAAUUCUGAAAAAGUUUGUAAUUACAUGUUGAAAGAAGAAAAAAUAAUUAAUAAAGAACAAAGUAACGAUACAAAUUGGGAAAUACAUUAUGCAGCAAAUAGAACAAAGGGUCUUAAAGAAAAUCAGAUCUUAUGUUAUGACCAAACAGAAAACAAAAGUUAUAAAGAAUAUAUUGAAAAUAAUAAAAAAUAUUCAAAUUUUAAUAAUCAGUUAAUUAUGUAUAAUUAUGCUAAUAAUAAUGAUAGCAAUAGUGAUAACAAUAGUGAUAAUAAACCUAAUGAAAACAUGGCAAAUGAAAAUGUUUUAAAAAAAAAACCAGAAUGUUCAGAAUCAUUAGAAUGUAAUUUUUUUACAGAUAACAUGAGUACAAAUAAAAAAAAUGCUUCAUUAAAUAACGAAAUGGGUGUUGACAUUUUGGAUAAUAUAAAGAAUAAAAUUUUAUUAACAAAUGAUAAGUGUAGUGGUACUGUUGGUAGUAGUACUGUUGGUAAUAAUGAUCAUACUACUAAUACAUAUCAAGACGAUCACAAUGGCGAAUGCUAUAAUGUAAUAGUCACAAAUGAGAAAGGUAAAAGUGAUACUUAUAAUGAUUAUGUAAAUGGUUGUAAUAAUUUUGAUGAAAACUUUGUAUUUAAUGAAAAUGUAAGAACUGGUGAUAAAAAAUGUAAGAGAGAUAGUAGAGUAAGUAGUAGGGAUAGUACUAGGGUCAGUAGUAUGGGAAGUAGUAGAGGCAAUAGUAAGGACAGUAACAUUGACAUUAGAAAAUAUAGUGAUUAUAAAAAUAUUGUUAAUAAAAAAGAAAAAAAAAAAAUGAAUAGAUCAAAUUCAUGUUAUGAGAGUUUCGUUUUGCCAACUAACUACUAUUUUUCUAGUCCCAACCACUAUCCAGCAAAAUUAUUUGAUGAUAUUUCAGAAAAAAACGAAGAAAUAAAUACUAUUAACAGUUAUAAAAAUUUGAAUAUACCAAAUAGUAACAACAACUUUAUGUAUCUAACUAACAAUAAUACAAAUUGUUUUAACGAUUUUAAUAAUAGUUUUAAUAUGAUUGAAAAUAAUUAUGAAUAUGCAGAAUCAAGUAUUAACAAACAAGACAUACAAUAUGGAAAACUCGAACUAAAAAUGAAUAGUAUGUAUAAUAAUGAUAGUAGCAAUACUAAAAGCA